CGGACGCGUCCUGCCGCUCAGCCAGCCAGGCGGAGACGCGCCAAAGCAUCUGGGAACCGUAAUUCCCGGAGCCCGGCUCGCGGCAAGGAGUCAGCGGCACCCGCUGCAAAAGCUGGGGGCGCAGGACCCCACCCCACGCGGCUGUUCACGCGCCCCCCGUGGCCCCAUCCCUGUCAGAGAGCUCUUCUCCGGAGGAGGGGAAGGUGAAAGGGCUUCCUGGGCUCUUAAAGGGAUUCUGCACUUGGGUGGUGGCAGCAUCUACCAAUCCAAGCUGCAGACAUUGUGGCCUUGAAGGGUGCCCCCUCCACACCUAUGGAACGCCUGAGUCAGAUAAGGAGGAGGGAAAAAAAGGACUUGGGAUGACAUAUUCAGCGAGAUCAUGCAAGCCAGUGCUACACUGGACGAUAAGCAGAGGGCCUGGAGAAUAAAUAUUGCAGACUAUAUGGAGAAGGACAGAACAGACAGAAAAGAGGCAGCCAUCCUUGCGGGGGGAGAAUAACAAAGUAGCCCACCACAGUAGCAUUUAACUUCAUAAAAGGGAACUCCACAACAAUGAAGAAGUCAGUUAAACAGAAAUUAAAAGGAACGGUCACAAGGAUUAAAUGCCUGCAAGCUGCAUGAGGACCACUGAAAAACACCCAUAACAGGGGCUCAAAUCAAAUUUAUACCCCAAAUAAAAAGUAAGAGGAGCAGAUAAAUGCUGCCAUGGCUAAACAGAGUAAAUGAGGCAGUUAGAGGCAAAAAGGCACCCUUUAAAAAUUGGACUUUA